rnacentral:rRNA from 1 species
UAGCAAGAAAAUUUUUUUGAAUUAGAUUUCUAGAAACCUGAGGAGCUACCUUAAUUUUGGUUUAGCCUUAAACAAAGGUGGGUGUGGCAUAACCCUAUUUAAAAUUUAAGGUAGAAAUUAGAUGUUAUUCGUUUUAGGUGAUAGCUAGUUAUAAUAUAAAGAUAUACAAGUAUCGGAUAUAAUUUCAUUAUGUGUUUGUACUAUACAUAUAAUGACUUAUUUUCUUAGUUACAUGAGGGUAAGCUCGUGUAAAUUUAUUUUAACUAAAAUUAUAUAUAAUUCUAAGCUCGAAAUUAGCUAUGAUGAAUCGGAAUUUGUUAAAAAUACAUAUAUACUAAAACUUUACAAUAUAUUAAAUUUAUAUUAUUCAAUUAUAUAAUUAAAGCAUUAUUGAUUUAUGCUAAAAUGAGUAUUAUUAUAAGUUAAAACUAAAAAUAAAUUAAAUUUUUUUUAAAAAUUUUUCAUAAAUAUUAUGAAAUAUAUCAUAGGAAUUCGGCAAAAUUUAGCUCCGCCUGUUUAGCAAAAACAUGUCUCUUUG